rnacentral:tRNA from 1 species
AGGGAUGUAGCUCAGUGAUAGAAUGCUUGCCUUGCAUGUAUGAAACCCUGGGUUCAACCCCCAGUAUUCCAC